CUGCUGAUUGUCUCUCCAUUGGAUACCGUGGGAAAUCUAGAGCUAAUACGUGCAGUUCAUUGGCUCGUCUUCGGACGAGUCAAAGCAUUUAUUAGACUAAACCAUCUACUAUGCUCGCAUAGUAAGGGGAAUCUAGAUAACUUUGCUGAUCGUAUGGCCUAGUGCCGGCGACGUUUCAAUUGAGUUUCUGCCCUAUCAACUUGUUGGUAAGGUAUUGGCUUACCAAGGUUGCAACGGGUAACGGGGAAUCAGGGUUCGAUUCCGGAGAGGGAGCCUGAGAAACGGCUACCACAUCCAAGGAAGGCAACAGGCGCGCAAAUUACCCAAUCUAGACAGUAGGAGGUGGUGAAGAGAAUUACUAGGUGGUGACUCAAUGAGUUACCAGUUUGGAAUGAACGUAACUUAAGAAAUUCGAUGAGAAACAACUGGAGGGCAAGUCCUGGUGCCAGCAGCCGCGGUAAUUCCAGCUCCAGUAGUUUGCUUUAAAGUUGUUGCGUUUAAAACGCUCGUAGUUGGAUCACGCAGCAGUGCCCAGUAAUCUACUAUUCGACGUAUCACUGAAAACCACUUGUGUGGCCUUUCAUGAGCUGUCAUUAGCAGAUACCAACGCUGAGCACUGUUAGUUGCACGUGAGAUGAAUUGUUGGCCUUUAUUGAGCCGGUAUUCUCGUCUUGCGGAGUGUGCCUUGAAUAAAACAGAGUGCUUAAAGCAGGUCGUUGCCUGAAUGUUAUAGCAUGGAACGAACAAUCGUGUAUAUGUGUGUAUCCUAGAUUGGUGACGAGCCUUAGGCUUGUUGUUGAUCUGGAUGCAUACGGCACCCACCUAAAUAUGGCUGUUGGUUCCAUAUACGGUGAUGAUUAAAAGGAGCGGUUGGGGGCAUCGGUAUUUGGCCGCGAGAGGUGAAAUUCUUAGACCGGCCAAGGACUAACAAAUGCAAAGGCACUUGUCUAGACCGUUUCCAUUAAUCAAGAACGAAAGUGGGGAGGUUCGAAGACGAUCAGAUACCGUCCUAGUUCCCACCGUAAACUAUGCCGACCUGGGAUCAGUUUAGAGAUGUUACAAGCUCUAGAUUGGUCCCCCUGGGAAACCUCAAGUUUUUCGGUUACGGGGAGAGUAUGGUCGCAAGGCUGAAACUUAAAGGAAUUGACGGAAGGGCACCACCAGGGGUGGAGCCUGCGGCUUAAUUUGACUCAACACGGGGAAACUUACCUGGUCCGGACAUCGAUAGGAUUAACAGAUCAAUAGCUCUUUUAUGAUGCGAUGAGUGGUGGUGCAUGGCCGUUCUUAGUUCGUGGAGUGAUCUGUCGGCCUAAUCGCGGUAACGAACGAGACCAUAAUCUCCAUUUAAGAGAUAGAAGCAGACGUCUGUGCGAGUGGAGUCGCAAGAUUUCACCCGUCGGGUGUUGCAGGUUGCAUUGUGCGUCGCAUUGUCAAAGUGUAGGGGCAACCUGAAACUUUGGUGGUGUGGUGUGCUUUGUUCCCUUCUAUUGAGCAGCAAUCGGUCUCGACUGGUUGUUGCCUUAUGGAGAGACAACGAGGUAUAUACA
rnacentral:rRNA from 1 species